GUAUAUUUUAAAAAGAUGUAAAUUGUAUUAUCUGGUUCUCUCCUGACCUUUAAUAGCAUUUUUAAUAGUAUUAAGGUGGUAUGGGAGUCUAAAAUAAAAAUGAUAGAAUUUAUUCAUACUUUGCCAAAACGCAGUAUCUAUUGAUAUAUGUUGAAAAAUAUAAUAAAAAUGAUAGGUCACCGUGCAUUUUCUCAAGCUACAGGCCGUGACAAAAUAACACAUUUUGUAUGGAUUAUACAGGAAAAAAACACCAUUUUGUGAUUAGAAACUAAACAAAAUGAUAGAAUUGUUAAAUACUUAAGGAAAAGAUAGCUUUCAGACAAUGCUUUGAGAAUAUCAAAAGAAAAGAUAGGGUCACCGUACGUUUUUUCCGGCUAAAAUACAAAAUAGGAAAAUUUCAUGUAGAAUCCUUCAGAAAAUGCACUGUUUUAGAGUUACCUCCCCUUGAAAUGCUAAUUUAAAAAAAAAUUAAAAACAACCAAAACUAAUCAACAUUUGCAAAAAUAUUAAUAUUUGUAAGUUAUAUUCUUAUAAAUUGGUUCUUUUAAAUGAAAAUCACAUUAAAUAUCUGCAUUCCUGCAUCCCAUUUUGCUAACUUGAUAGAAAAUAUGGACCUUUGGUUCUCUGUUUUUUACAAUCCAAGAUGGAGGAAGACACCCAUACCACCUUAAACAAUGUUGUUUUCUUGUCUCUAAUUUAUGUCUAAUCUUACGUACUUGUAUGUAAUGUCAUGAAUAAAACUGAGAAUGGAAAUGGGGAAUGUGCCAAAGAGACAACAACCCGACCAUAGAGCAGACAACAGCAGAAAGUCACCAACAAGUCUUCAAUGCAACGAGAAAUUCUCGCACCCGGAGGCGUCCUUCAGCUAGCCCCUAAACUAACAUAUACCAGCUCAGUGAUAAUGAAUACCAUACUAAACUCCAAAUUGUACACAAGAAACUAAAAGUUAAAAUAAUACAAGACUAACAAAGGCCAGAGGCGCAAAAAAUGCGGCGGGGUUAAACAUGUUUGUAUGAUCUCAACCCUGCCCCUAUACCUCUAGCCAAGGCAGAAAAGUAAACGCAUAACAAUACGCACAUUAAAAUUCAGUUCAAGAGAAGUCCGAGUCUGGUGUCAGAAGAGGUAACCAAAGAAAAUAACAAAAUGACAAUAAUACAUAAAUAACAUCAGACUACUAGCAGUUAACUGACAUGUCAGCUCCAGACUUCAAUUAAACUGAUUGAAAAAUUAUGUCUUCAUCAUAUGAAUAUCAGGCACAAUCCUCCCCGUGAGGGGUUUAAUAUCAUACCAUCAUAACAUAUAUGAGAAGAACAUAACCC
rnacentral:lncRNA from 1 species